rnacentral:rRNA from 1 species
UACGUAGGGUGCGAGCGUUAAUCGGAAUUACUGGGCGUAAAGCGUGCGCAGGCGGUCUUGUAAGACAGUCGUGAAAGCCCCGGGCUUAACCUGGGAACUGCCUUUGUGACUGCAUCGCUAGAGUACGGUAGAGGGGGGUGGAAUUCCGCGUGUAGCAGUGAAAUGCGUAGAUAUGCGGAGGAACACCGAUGGCGAAGGCAGCCCCCUGGACCUGUACUGACGCUCAUGCACGAAAGCAUGGGGAGCAAACAGG